rnacentral:rRNA from 1 species
AUGUACCGAGCCGCCUCCGGCCUCGGCGCCCUCAAGCAGCAUGGGGCGGAUACCCAACUGUUGAAUAUCGCGGUUAGGUCUGCUAGCACAAGUGUUGCACAGAGGUCAUCGGGCGGCUUCUUGGGCUGGCUGACAGGUGCACGUUCAAAUGCACUACCCCCUCCAGAUUUCGCACUCCCAGGAGUCACUAUUCCUCCUCCACUAGCUGAUCAUGUGGAGCCUGGCAAGACAAAAAUCACAACACUUUCAAAUGGUGUAAAAAUUGCCUCUGAAACAUCUCCAGGAUCAGCAUGUUCUGUUGGAGUUUAUGUUCACUGUGGGUCUGUAUAUGAAACACCUGAGACACUGGGUGCCACUCAGUUAUUAAAGAAGUUGGCCUUCACAACCACUAGAAACAGGAGCCAGUUGCGUGUUGUUCGUGAAAUUGGUGCAAUAGGUGGCAGUGCGAAAGCAUCAGCCAACCGUGAGCUCAUGAGCUACAGUUAUGGAGCCCUUAAGACUUACAUGCCUGAAAUGGUGGAAGUGCUAGUUGAUUGUGUGAGAAAUCCUGCUUUACUUGAUUGGGAAGUCAAGGAAGAGAUAAUGAAUCUAAAGGCAGAGCUUGCAGAAGCUUCAAGUAAUCCGGAAACUUUCCUUUUGGAUGCUCUUCAUUCCAGUGGCUAUUCUGGUGCCUUGGCAAACCCAUUGAUUGCCUCAGAGGCUUCAAUUAGCAGAUUAAAUACCGAUGUUCUGGAAGAAUUUCUUGCUUUGAACUACACUUCCCCGCGAAUUGUUCUAGCUGCGUCUGGUGUGGACCACGAUGAACUUGUAUCAAUUGCUGAACCACUCCUGUCUGACAUUCCCACUGCAACUGGAACAGGAAAGCCAAAAUCUGUCUAUGUUGGUGGAGAAUAUAGACGGGCAGCAGAUUCAUCGAACACAGAUCUUGCUUUGGCAUUUGAGCUCCCAGGUGGAUGGCUGAAAGAAAAAGAAUUUGCUACUGCAUCUGUUCUUCAGGCACUUCUGGGUGGUGGUGGCGUCUUUACCUGGGGAAGACCUGGAAAAGGCUUGCAUUCACGUCUAAAUCCCCUCGUAAAUGAAUUUGACCAAAUCAAAUCGAUCUCCGCUUUCAAAAAUGUUCACAGUAACACUGGCAUUUUUGGAAUUCAUACAUCGACUGAAGCAGCAUUUGUUCCUAAAGUUAUUGACUUGGCAGCCAGAGAACUCACUUCCCUUGCUACUCCUGGUCAAGUUGACCAAACCCAACUGGAACGUGCUAAAGCAUUUGCAAAAUCAGCUAUCUUGAAGAACCUGGAAUCAAAGGCAUCAACAACUGAAGACAUGGGGCGCCAAGCAUUGGCAUUUGGUGAAAGGAAACCUGUGGAGCAGCUUCUUAAGGCUGUUGAUGCUAUAACUCUGGCAGAUGUAUCAACUGUUGCUGAGAAGAUCAUCUCGUCACCAUUGACAAUGGCAUCUCAUGGAAAUGUUCUCAAUGUACCAGCCUACGAGACAGUGCGUGGCAAGUUCAGCUCGAAAUGA